rnacentral:rRNA from 8 species
UAAGUCUAAACGACUCUCGGCAACGGAUAUCUCGGCUCUCGCAUCGAUGAAGAACGUAGCGAAAUGCGAUACUUGGUGUGAAUUGCAGAAUCCCGUGAACCAUCGAGUCUUUGAACGCAAGUUGCGCCCGAAACCAUUCGGUUGAGGGCACGUCUGCCUGGGCGUC